rnacentral:rRNA from 1 species
GAUGAACGCUGGCGGCGUGCUUAACACAUGCAAGUCGAACGAAGCACUUAAGAUUGAUUCUUCGGAUGACGUCUUUUGUGACUUAGUGGCGGACGGGUGAGUAACGCGUGGGUAACCUGCCUCACACAGGGGGAUAACAGUUAGAAAUGACUGCUAAUACCGCAUAACCCGAUAGGAUCGCAUGAUCCAGACGGAAAAGAUUUAUCGGUGUGAGAUGGACCCGCGUCUGAUUAGCUAGUUGGUGAGGUAACGGCCCACCAAGGCGACGAUCAGUAGCCGGCCUGAGAGGGUGAACGGCCACAUUGGGACUGAGACACGGCCCAAACUCCUACGGGAGGCAGCAGUGGGGAAUAUUGCACAAUGGGGGAAACCCUGAUGCAGCGACGCCGCGUGAGUGAAGAAGUAUUUCGGUAUGUAAAGCUCUAUCAGCAGGGAAGAAAAUGACGGUACCUGAAUAAGAAGCCCCGGCUAACUACGUG